rnacentral:rRNA from 1 species
UACGGGGGGGGUAAGCGUUGUUCGGAAUUACUGGGCGUAAAGGGCUUGUAGGCGGUUUGUUAAGUCUGGUGUGAAAUCUCCCGGCUCAACCGGGAGGGGUCAUCGGAUACUGGCAGACUUGAGACGGGUAGAGGAAAGCAGAAUUCCCGGUGUAGCGGUGAAAUGCGUAGAUAUCGGGAGGAAUACCAGUGGCGAAGGCGGCUUUCUGGGCCUGUUCUGACGCUGAGGAGCGAAAGCGUGGGGAGCAAACCGG